GCCCAACCUCCCACCCGUGUUUACUGUACCUUAGUUGCUUCGGCGGGCCCGCCAUUCAUGGCCGCCGGGGGCUCUCAGCCCCGGGCCCGCGCCCGCCGGAGACACCACGAACUCUGUCUGAUCUAGUGAAGUCUGAGUUGAUUGUAUCGCAAUCAGUUAAAACUUUCAACAAUGGAUCUCUUGGUUCCGGCAUCGAUGAAGAACGCAGCGAAAUGCGAUAACUAGUGUGAAUUGCAGAAUUCCGUGAAUCAUCGAGUCUUUGAACGCACAUUGCGCCCCCUGGUAUUCCGGGGGGCAUGCCUGUCCGAGCGUCAUUGCUGCCCAUCAAGCACGGCUUGUGUGUUGGGUCGUCGUCCCCUCUCCGGGGGGGACGGGCCCCAAAGGCAGCGGCGGCACCGCGUCCGAUCCUCGAGCGUAUGGGGCUUUGUCACCCGCUCUGUAGGCCCGGCCGGCGCUUGCCGAACGCAAAUCAAUCUUUUUCCAGGUUGACCUCGGAUCAGGUAGGGAUACCCGCUGAACUUAAGCAUAUCAAAAAACCGGGAGAGAAUCAUUACCGAGUGUAGGGUUCCUAGCGAGCCCAACCUCCCACCCGUGUUUACUGUACCUUAGUUGCUUCGGCGGGCCCGCCAUUCAUGGCCGCCGGGGGCUCUCAGCCCCGGGCCCGCGCCCGCCGGAGACACCACGAACUCUGUCUGAUCUAGUGAAGUC
rnacentral:rRNA from 1 species